GUUUAAUCUGAACUCUCCCGGCGCACCUGCCUGCUUUCUGGCGCAGACACACGUGAACAGAGGACCUGUAGAGCACAUCAAGAUGUUGUGCUGCGUUUGGAACUGAGAGCAGGGUUGGGAUGUUCGAUGCCAUUCGUUCAUGAGGAACCCUUCAUGAAGCCACUUUCCCAAACUUUUCCUUAGGCUCUCGGACCUCUGGAGUUGCUACAGGAUCAAUUUCAGCCAGUCAAGCUUCCUCUGGCUCUCCUAGAUCUGCUCCUCAGCAUCCUUAUACAAUCUGUGAAUGCUGUGCACAGUAUAUUUACAGAAUGCAUAAAGAAGCUGAUAGGUAGAAAUAUUGACAAUACAGUAUAUUUUAAUAAUAAUAAAAAAAAAAUCUAUUUUUUUUA